GCAUACAUUCUUUCCAGCCUAUCUUUAACAUCAGUUGACAAGAAUUAUAUAAUUGCAGUCUGUGAUCCCUUUAAGGCUAAAACGUAUUCGUUUUCCCUCAAAGAACACUUCAGGUUUCAGAGUUAAAUGCAUACAUUUUUUUCCAUCUGGGCUAUUCUGUAAAAAGCUGCUUUCUCCUCAGCUGGCAAGUCCCAUUCUACCAAGUUGCAUGGAUUUAUUUUUUACUGCGGUUUUCAGCUCACAUGUUAACAAGUAGAAGAAAGAGCCUCCAAAUCCCAACCUGUGUUUCCCAUUGCAUUGGAAAAUUAGUGGGUUCCAAAGACCACGCAGGGGGAAUUAUCCUCCUUAGGUGGAACCAAAUAAAAUCUCAGUGUGCUGAUUUAAUCAAAUUAGUGUCUAAUGCUAAUUGAUAGGCAGCCUGGAGACGGACAGGUAGCUGGACUGGAUCUGAUCUCGCAUUUCAGAGGUAUGAUGUAACCCUCUGGGUCAGGAAGGAAUUGCUGUUCUCCUAUCAGAAUGGCAUCUGCCACCGUGCUGUAGGAAGCCGUGGACAUCAGAUACUCAGAUUUUCAUCGCCAGGGGAGAUGAGGACAGGACGGAAAGCAAUCCUUGUGCUUCAUGGAGGCUUUUCCCAGAGCUCUGAAGGUCAGAUGCUCACUAUUCCAGCUGAGGAAUUUGGGACUAUUCGUGCUGCCUACCUUUAAGGUGCCUGUUUUGGGUCCCGAAGUGAUGAUGCUCUUCCUUCAAACUUCUGUGCUUCCUCUGGAAUGAACCCUUAGAGACCAGCCUCCCAGAACUGGGUACGAAGAUCAGUGUAUAACUGAAAUGCCAUCUUGCAGAGCACAGUGACCUCUCUGGAGGGCUGUCCUUGGGCUGUGGCUUCAUGCUCCCCUGUCCCAUGGGAGACACUGGAUUUCCUUCCUAGCCUGUCUCCCACGGAGCACUUUGGAGCACUUAUGCUUCUGUAGUGCAGGACUAAUCUGGAAAGCAGCUCAGAGCACACGUGGGAAGGUGUCCUAUGCAAAGGCUGCCCUCAAGCACCGCUCUGCAGCCCCAGCUUGGCCAUUCACGCCAAGCAGUGAAGGCACCGUGGCUCCUGUUGCAGAGCAUGCCAAUACUUGGAACACGCUCCUGCCAAUAUCCCACAUAAAUCACGCCUUAUCCAGCCCUCCUCAUUCCUUCUGGAGAUUCCUACUUCACUGCAAGUGAUAUGUGAUGGAUCUGUGCUUCCUCGGAGCAUCACAUGGCAGGCAGAUCUCAAUAUGCAUAUUUACGCCUGGAGCUGCACCUCGACUCCUUGGGUUGCAUUGCGUAUGUGUAGCGAUUCCACGGCCAAGACUGCUUGCACAGGCCGUGCUUCCCACACCUCCCCACCAUGUCAGAACAAUGACCGUGGACAAGAUUAAACCUGGCACCAUUCUCCUCCUGCACACAGAGGCAGAACUGCGGCUCUGCUGAAGACCGCAGGAAUUACCCCGGGGCUGGCUUGCAACCUCCGCUGCAUCCUUUCUGUGCAUGGUAACGAGGUGCUUUUCUUCUGCCAUGAGACCUACACGUGUCACGCUCGCUUGUGGCAUCGUCCUCAUUGCAGCGUGUCUUGCCAAGGUUUUGCCUUAAGCAGAGGAAGGAUGAAAAAUGCAGGGCCAGAGACUUUCUUACAGCUGAAAACCGCUGUCUGCUGCGCUGCUCCUCGGGACAGCACCGAGCAGGGAAACGCCUCCGCCACCCAGCAGUCAUUCUCUUCAUAGUGGGACAAGUGCAGAAUGGUGGAGGGGAAGCUCGGAUGGUGGUCCUGUCCAGGGAGACGCAGCCUCAUGUCUCCCACCCUCCUCCGCUUUGAUGACUGAACAUGUAGGACCGGUAAAACUCAAAUUUCAGAAGGGCUUUUUUUGAUAGUUAUAUAAAGGCAUCUAUUCCCGGAUAAGAUCUUCCAAGCAGAUCUUAUCUGGGAAUUAUUUUUGUGGUAGCAAUGGGGUGAUCAUCACAGAACCAUUAAGGCUGGAAAAGCCCUCUAAGAGCGUCUCAGCAGGAUUGAUCCAAUACAGACUGAUGACUGGCGUCUACGUGGAGGGAAAAGCUGAAGUCCUGCUCACAAUGGGCAUGCAAUUGACACUGAAAUCUGCUGGACAGAGAAGGAAUGAAGCGUCCGCUCACAGCCCUGCAGUGGCACAGUGAUACUGAAGGCUUCUCAGGACUCGCUGUGCACUUUGCCUCCCGACCUCCUGUUUUGCUGCAGGACCCCACAGAGCACACCCCUGAAAUCAGCCUUGCACAUACAAGGAGUGAAACCAUGGAGGGGAAGGAGUGACCCCGUGAAGGAGUGGAGACGCCAGAGCUGCAGGGGAGAGGCUGCCUGGGAAGUCAGAUGAGGACAGAAGGCAUCAGCCUUUCCAGGAAAGAACCUGUCCUUGCACAUUUCCUCGUGUCUGGGCUUCAACAACGUGAUUGCGAGCACAUGAGAAGAAGAAAACACCCCCCAUUUUGCUGAGCCCCAGCAGGGUGAACAGAGGGAAAAGGUGCUUCAGGGCAGGAAGAAACUGUGAAGAAACAGGUUUGGACAGGAGUUGAAGGAUUGUAUGCCCAAUUGAGCCUACAACUGAAAGCAAUGAGCUGGAUGGACACUCCUGGUAUGGGGUUGGAGGGUGAGUACUACCUGCCUGAGUACCACACCGCUUCCUUUAGGACACUGGGAGAUUUGCUGGAGCUCGCCCAUCUGACCCAAUCCUCCACAUGAGAUCUGGCAAGAUAAUCACUCCAAGCGUCUGGAAAGAAGCCCUUGCUUUCUCCACUGCACCUGAGGAACCAAUGGCAGAUGAUGGAGACAGAAUGGCUCACUGCUCUCAUGGCUGGAGAAGCGGUGGGAAGCUCUUGGCACCACAACCUCUGAGUUAAUGUACUCUGCUCUGCUCGCUGUGCCUCCUUGCUCCCAGCAUGGGCAUGGACUCCUGUUAUGCAGCAUGCCACAUUUUUUUCCUGCGGAAGACACCAAGAUUAGAUGAGAGGACGUGUUCGGCAGCAGAAGAGAAAGUCUCUGGCCAGCACACUUGAACUUUGGCCAGGCUGGCUUACCCAAGCAGUGAUUUUGGUCAACACACAACUUCUGUCCUGACCUUGCCAUCACAGAGGAAAAUGUCCAGUUAUGCAGCCUCCAGACUAAACCGCCACCAGCCCAAUGGAGACAACCUCAUCUGGGAGCUUGGGACUACCGAUGGGCACAGAAGAUUCAGCUUGGAAGCCAAUGGUUUAAUCGAAGCAUUGCAUGGAAGGUCCGGUCCUUGGCUGAUUGAUGGCUUGCUUGCUGACAGCUGGAAUGGCUCAUUCUUUGGGGCAGAAACCCAGUGGCAGCACUCAGUGAAGCAAGUGUUGAAGUGUUGACCCUUCCUGAGCCCGAUAAAUAGUCAUCCGACUUCCUCUAAAUGGCUCUCAGCCGCCUUCCAGAUCGUUCCUUCCACUGUCCUGCAUACAGCAAGGAGCAAGGCAAUGUGCAGAAGACAGGAAAUUGGGUUUGCAAACUGGGGGAAAAAAGGUGAAAGGCUGCAAGAAAUAUUUCCACCAACCCUGCGCCUGCUAGCAACAGGAGAAAUAUUUGAGCGCCUCGCUGAGGAUGUAAGAAAAUCUUUCCACUGCAGUGAAGGAGGAUCUGGGUGAAGAUUAAGGGUUGCUAUUUUUUUUCUGUUAAUGACUUGCUUUGUUUCCAACUGAAAGAAGUUGGUUAGAGGAUAAGCCAAUGGACCCUACACUGUCUGCCUGCAAUGUGGGGCUUGAAGCCAAUUGGAAAUGACUCUUCAGAAGGUACCAUCUUGGACACAGCACCAGACACCUAUCCGGUCGGAAUACACUGCCAAUGAAAGGAUGAUUUCUUUUCCUGCUCUGCCUCAUAAGAGGAUAUUCUUGCUUCUCCACAUGUGAAGGGAAGAUGGGUCCCUCCCAUGGGGAAUGUUACUGCUGGCCAUCACUUCCUUUCUGAAAGCCCCAUUUGAAAAGGAGGAAAUAGUUGGUGGAGGAAGUUCCUGAAAAGGAAUCUUUCAAAUCCUUAUUUUUGUCAGUUUUUUUUUUUUUCUUUCAGGGGACACCCAAUACGAUGGAAAUAAUUGGCGUGGCUGCCUCAAGUGAUGGAAAAAGUACAGAAAACUGCAAGGGGUGUGACAGCAAGAAAACCAGCUUCUUCUCCAUUUAUUGUACAAUAUUUAUCAUCAACCCGUUUUGUAUAUUUUGCUUUCUUUUGUGUAAUCUUAUCAUCACUGGGGUUGAAAACGAUGUGAUUUUUCUCCUUUGAGUAGUUGCCAAAAAAGCACUUACGUCGGAGUAUUAGUGUAUCAUUUGGCUAGCACAUCACAUAAUGGUUUUUUUACAGCAAGUAUUUAACCAUGUUUUCAUCCUGUGGGAAAGAAUGAUGGGUCUGUUUUGUAAAAAUAAGACCUUGUGGCAAUGUGGACAUGCAAGAGAUAGAAACAUAAUGCAACAAAUUAGUUUCAACACACAGAAAUGAGGUAGUCCAG
ensembl:lncRNA